AGGGAGGAUGGAGUAACCUGGUAACUCGUCGAGCUCGUAACCAGCAAUAAUGUAGUAGGUUCGAACCCUACUUCCGCUU
rnacentral:tRNA from 1 species